rnacentral:lncRNA from 1 species
AUGAAGUUGGGAUUCAGAUCCUACAUUCUACCUGUUAAUGUGGAAUGUAGAAAUGUAGAAUCCUUCCCUCUACACCCCACCGCUUCCGAAGAGUUAACACACCAUGUCGGCUUCACUACUGUGGCUUUAUGGGAAGUCUUUAAAUCAAUUAUUCACUCUCAGUUGUCUGGUCACAUUGCCGCAAACUGCAAAGUGGAAGUGACUGGGAAGAUGGAUGCCCAUCAACUUUUGCCCAGGUGUGUGGGCUCCUGUGUACAUGAUAGAGUGAGUGCCUUUUGCAAUAAAGAUCAAACACAUUGGUGCUGGCUUUCUAUGCGUUCCUUGUUUCUGUAGGCGGCUGAAAAGAUUAGAUUGUGUCCCAGAGAGCGAGAUAUUGCCUCCAGACAAUUUAUAUGGCUUUUAUAUUUAUUUAGAGAGCAGGAAGCCUAGCCCAGCUUCUGCUGUAUGAGGCAGUGACAGGAGAAUUUAAAAGGGCUGUUUCAUUAAUUUUGGACAGAAUUUAUUGCUGACAAAAGACUGCAUUAUUGAUGGUUGGAAGGCAGCACUUGCCUCGUCUCUGAGGAGCUGCGUGGGAGUGCCGCCCCCGCUUGCCUGCAGCCUCCUUGGAGCUGCUGCUGCGGCCAGGGAAACCCUUCCCAGGGGAGGAGGGAGUCGUUCUGGCACAGCGCCUUACUGCCUGCCCGGGGUGCCGGGCUGUGAUGGCAGAGCCUCUUUCUGACUGUACCACUGCAAUCUCUGAACAGGAAGGACAUUUAGAGGUCACACGGCUCCAUCUCUGCACUUCACGGAUGGGGUCCUCGACAUGCACACAGGGCAAGAGAUUUACUGACAUAUGAAGUCAGAAAUCAGGUAGAAAUCAGGUACAGCUGCAUAGCUUCAUUCGCUCUUUUUAUUUUUUUAAAACUCUUUUCUAAAUGACCGUGGCAGGAUGUGCGUGGGUAGCUUUCUAUAUGUUCUUUGCACAGCACUGAACUUUGUUUCUCAAAUAACGACAAUAACAUUAUAUUUGUACAGACUUUAAAUGAUGUAUAAAGAGUUUAAUCUCUCACACAUUCCUUUGAAAUGUGAGGAAUGCAAAGAGCCUCAAGGAUGUUAAUGGUUUCCAGCCACUUGCAAUGGGCUAGGUCUGGGCUAGAUUCCUCGCACAUUAUCAUCUUUGAUGCCAUCACCAAUUUUGUGAGGUGGGUGUUAUAAUCCUCAUUUGUAGAAGCGCAGUACAAUUAAGGAGCUUGUUCAAGGUCUCAGAGAAUGUAAGUAGCAGAGAUUUUUUUUUAAGCAAUCUUAGGAACUUUUGGAAGUUCAGUUCUAGGUUUACACAAUAUGCUUUUGUAAAAGGUUCCAAGCUGGGUUUUUGAAGGUGGGAGGAAAAAACCUUUCUGUUAGGAAUGAAGAAGAGAGUGGUGACUGCUAUGAAACCAAGAGAUGACAAUAAUGUCUAUGAACUAGUUCAUCUUUGGAAACACAGAUUUUCAGUGACCUUGAAACUCAGGCUAGAAUGAAGAGUGUAGGAGAUGAAAGGAAUAGGCUUAUCCAAUGUGAGUAUUAAGAUAAGCAAUUGCCUUCGUUCCCACUUUCCUUUGCCAGAAGAGAAGCUGUCAAUGCAGACUAGAAAUGGGCUGAAAGUAGAAUUAUGGUACAAUCUUUCUUGUAUACAAAUCACUUUCUAGCCUUAAAACUGUACCUCUUUGAUCACUCAGAAAGUGAGCAACUUGACUACCCUGCGACUUUACGAUUUCCAUGACACUUGAUCUGAAAGGAAUCUUAGACACCCAAACUAUCAAAUUCAAACCCCUGAUUUGGAGUAUGAGGACUGAGCCCAAAGAAGGAAGAGAAUGUUGCAAAAGCUAAUGGCAGAAUCAAGGUGUUGCUCAAUAACCACCGUAGAGUUCUCUCUACCACACCAUAUGGCUUUCUAUUAUUUAUAUACAUACAUGUGUGUUUUAUGUUUGCAUAUGUUUAUAACAUAUAUACUAUAUACACACUAGUAUAUAUACAAUGUAUACAUACAUAUUACAUGUGUGUGUAUAUGUGUGUGUGCAUAUAUAUAUAUACGUAUAUAUAUAUUUUUUUCCCCUGCCUAUUUUUUCUUCAAACUGUGGAGGCUAACGACCUACCUUUAGUGUGGUGAAAACAGAAUGACUGUAAAUACUCUAUAAGUGCCUAACUGUAGAAACUUUAAUUAGAAAAGUUAAAACAAUUCUUGUAAAUAGAGCUGUGCUUAGAGUACAGCUGUGCCUGUUCUUUCUGCUUAAAGAUUUUACUCAAGGUGACUUUGAAGUUUGAGAUAAUUAGAUUUAGGAGGUUGGAGGUCAUAGAAUAGGACUGGAGAGGUAUCAGCACUUAGAAAUCCUAAGUGUUAUAAGAAAAGUAGCCUGGACAGAAUUGCACAUUAGUUGAAAACAACAAUGAGUAAAUUGCAAUGAGGCUAUUUAGUUUUAAAACACCUAGAUUGUUUGCUAUAUAGUGGAGGGAGCAUUGCUAUGGGGUAUAAUACAGAUUUAUUUUUCAAUGUCUGACUGAAAUAAGGAAUUCUGAAGAUUGAAUAAUAUAAAAAUAGAAUAGAAUUAGAUCCAAGGCCAAGAUAUUACAUGGAAAAUACAGUAGAAGAGGAACCUUAACUGAUUAAAGGGGGAAUGGGAAAGUAAGCGCAAAUUAAGAAUCCCACAAGAGGCCAACAAAUUCAAAUGGCAAAAUGAGAUAGUUUAGAAUCAGAACAUUAUUCCUCAAAGUGUGACCAUGGAUCACUGGCUUUAGAAUGAUCUGUGAACUGUUUGAAAUGCAGAUUAGAGGGCUCCCGCUUCAGUUCUCUGGAAUCAAAGCCUGGGAAUAGGAUUUGGGAACGAGUGACAAAUACUCUACUUGUUUCUUAUGCACACUAAAGUCUGGAACCACAGGGCUAGGUAGUUGUACACACUGCAAAUAAAUAGGAAAAUAAAAUAUCUAGAAUGACAGUUUGCACAAUUUGAGGAGUAAACCAUUUGGGAAUCUUAUUCUUAAAAUUCAGAAAACCAACUUAAUAAUAAGCAGCCAGUAUCAAUGCAUUUUCCAUUUUUAAUUUGUAGAAUAAAUAUUGAUUAGAAUACUAGAUAAUACACACACUAUUUAUGUUGCUCUGAUUUAUACCCUCCUAUGAUAAGCUAUUAGACAUGAAUUCCCUGGUCUUUAUUUUUUCAAUUUAUUAAAAAAGGAGUGUCUUGAUAUGGAUGGAGUUAUAAGAAAAGAGGUUCAAGGAAGAGAAGACAGGGAUACAGAAAAAGAAUAAAUAUUUUGCUCGAGUAUACCAUAUUUAUUUGUUUAGGCACAAUACAUACAGACUUUAAGUGGUUCUGAUGAUU